rnacentral:rRNA from 1 species
AACUCGGCUGCAUGAAGCUGGAAUCGCUAGUAAUCGCAGAUCAGAAUGCUGCGGUGAAUACGUUCCCGGGUCUUGUACACACCGCCCGUCAAGCCAUGGAAGCCGGGAGUGCCUGAAGUACGCGACCGCAAGGAGCGUCCUAAGGUAAAACCGAUGACUGGGGCUAAGUCGUAACAAGGUAUC